UACGUAGGGGGCAAGCGUUGUCCGGAAUCAUUGGGCGUAAAGAGCGUGUAGGCGGCCAGAUAAGUCCGCUGUGAAAACUCGAGGCUCAACUUCGAGCUGUCGGCGGAAACUAUCUGGCUAGAGUCCGGAAGAGGAGAGUGGAAUUCCUGGUGUAGCGGUGAAAUGCGCAGAUAUCAGGAAGAACACCCGUGGCGAAGGCGGCUCUCUGGGACGGUACUGACGCUGAGACGCGAAAGCCAGGGGAGCGAACGGG
rnacentral:rRNA from 1 species